UACAGAGGGUGGCGAGCGUUAAUUCGGAAUUACUGGGCGUAAAGCGUGCGUAGACGGUUAUUUAAGUCGGGUGUGAAAGCCCCGGGCUCAACCUGGGAAUUGCAUUCGAGAUCUGAAUAGCUAGGGUACGGUAGAGGGAAGCGGAAUUUCCGGUGUAGCGGUGAAAUGCGUAGAUAUCGGAAGGAACAUCAGUGGCGAAAGCGGCUUCCUGGAC
rnacentral:rRNA from 1 species